UAGACGGGGGAAAGUACCGAUAAAACAGAUACUAAUUGGUGUCGUAGUGUGUGGGGCAGGAAAAGCGCAACGGCUUCGGACCACCGUCGUAAGCUCGUUUAUUCACAAUGAACGGUCUCAACGGUGUUGUAUAUGCACUGAUUCAUUACACUGAACCCCAGAUUUACUGAAUUACUACGCGAGCGGGCUUAUCUUUUUUUACACUUUCUGUCGUGGUUAUCGCUAUGUUAAUAUUCAUAGCGUAUUUAUGACCGCCUUUGGUCGCCAACCGGGUUAGAGUUCACCGAGAGGUCGUUUGAACGCCAAACUGGACACGCAUUAACCCUUGCGUAUGACGUCACCGCCGGCAAAGCUGAGCUAACGUUAGCACGCUAACGUAGCUAGCUAAAUGACAGACGACGGUGAUGCCUGCAGGUGGAAGUACCUGGACAGCGACCCAGGACGGAUUGGACAAGACGUUAGAGAAGCCAAUUAAGAAAAAGUCCAAGAAGAAAACCCCCGAAAUUAACGAGAGCAUUGUGCUUCAGACUCUCAAGAACCUCCGCGUCACAAAGGGCGGGCAGUCCGAUGACGACGACGCGCAUCAUCUGGAACACGAUGGCCGUGAGUUUGAAACGGCCACAAACGGCAACAACGAAGAGGACACUCGACCAUCAAAAGCCAAGAGGAAGACUAAGAGGGAACUUCCCAGCCGGCCUUUGCCCGACAACGCCGCUGGCCCUGAAGCGGAGGGCGAGCAGAAGGAGGCGAAACGCGGGAGUAAGAAGGGCAGACGGAAAGACGACGCCAGGAGAGAUGACGACAAGGACGGCGAGGAGCUGCUGCGGGAGUACCAGCAGCAGAUGACGCCAGAAGACGAAGACACGCGAGGUAGUGACGACGUAGGGAAGAGGAAAAAGAAGAAGAAAGUGAAAUCUGCCACCGCCGAGUCGGAUCUUGGAGAUCAUGACCAGGACGGCGAUGUGGAAAGUGACUCCAAGGAGAAAAAGAAGAAGAAGAAGACGACGAAGAAGAAGAAGUCAACCUCGGAGGAAGGAAACGCCAAUGAAGUGCCCAAAAAGCCCACCACCAAUAACGAAAACGACGGCCUGGUGCUAGGGGUGUACGUGCACCAAACGGAUGGCCUCAAGACGGACUUGCGCGUCUCGCAUCCCAUGGUGAAGGUCCACGUGGUGGAUGACAUCACAGGCCAGUACGUCAAAAAGAAAGACAGCCAUCGUCCGGUGUCAUCGUUUUACGAGCAAGACACGGUGGACCACAUCCUUCCCAUCAUGACACAGCCCUUCGACUUCAAGAAGAACAAGUCGGUCAUCCCUGAGUGGAAGGAGCAGAUCAUCUUCAACGAGCCCUUUUCACACUUUGUAGGGCGGGACCCCGAGAGCCCAAAAGUUGUCCUCUUCUUUGAGAUCUUGGACUUUCUAACCAUGGAGGAAGCCAAAUCCAAUGUUGACGUUGAGACGCAUGAGCGAGGAUUCAGAAAGAUCGCAUGGGCCUUCUUGAAGCUAGUCGGCGCCAACGGCGUGUUGAACACCGGCAGCAAAAUCCGCCUGCAGCUCUAUUGUCCACCCUCGUCGGCCAAGAGGCAGCCUCGCACCGUCGAGGUGGUGGAGUGGUGGCGGCGUUACCCUCGCGUCAAGUACGCGUCCACCCUCUACGUCACCGUCAAAGGCAUCCGACUACCUCAGCACGUGGACCCGAGCGUGCGUUCCAUGAUGGCGCUGCAGGAGGAGCGAGGCAACACUUCCUAUAGCGAGCUGCAGGACGGUGCCACCAAGAGGACGUCCUCGCUGCACGCUGAAGGGACGAGCGCGCCGGUGUUGAAGUGGAGCCGAAUUCCCGGCCAGGUGUGUCGCAUUCCCAACAAGCCCGUGCUGGCCUUCCGCGGGGGUCAAAUGGGCUGCUUGGCAGUGCUCUUCUCUCAUGGCGGAACGCUUCUGGCCACCGCGUGUGCCGACAGAGAUUUGUUCCCAGUUGUGGUGUUUGAGAUUCCCUCUGGGAAAGCCUUGGCGGCCUUCAGCGGCCAUCUUAAAAUCGUCUACGAACUCUGCUGGUCCGCCGACGACAGACGACUUUUGUCCGUCUCCUCCGAUGGAACCGUCAGGGAGUGGGAUGUGGAGCAGUUCCUCCCGACCGCACGCAAGGUUCUGCCGCACCCGUCGUUUGUGUACACGGCCCAGUACCACCCGGCGGCGCAGCAUCUGGUGCUCACCGGCGGCUACGACUGCGUUGUCCGCGCCUGGAGGCUCGAUGUUGAUGACAUCAACGGCCUGCUCCUGCGCGAGUUUGAAGCCCACGCUGCUUUCAUCAACAGCAUUUGCUUUGACGCCCAAGGAGACAGGAUGUUUUCGGCGGACAACACGGGCAGCGUCGUCAUGUGGAACACUUCGGUGAGCGAUGACGAGCAGCAGCCUUGGCAUCACUGGUGUGUGGAGAAGAUUCACACGGAGGCGGCCCUAAAGGGGAUCCCCAUCAACAUGCUGCAGGUCCAUCCCAGCGGCCGCUGCCUCCUCAUUCACGCCAAAAACAACGUCCUCAGGAACUUGGAUCUCAGAAUUAUGACAAUGAAAAAAUACACGGGAGCCACCAACCAGUGGGAGAGGAUCACCAGCACCUUCACGCCGUGCGGCAGCUUCGUCUUCUCCGGCAGCGAGGACGGAAUGGCGUACGUUUGGAACGCCGAAUCCGGCGACCAGGUGGCUGUCUACUCUCGGCUUUGCUACAGCUCGCCCUUGUGCGGGGUGUCUUUCCACCCUCACGAGAACAUGGUGGCCUUCUGCGCCUUUGGGGAGGGCCAGCCCGUGCAACUCUACCUGCACGACCGCAAAGUGUCCCAGCUGGACGUGCUUGGCAUGAAGGAGCUUGGGCCGGCGUCAAACACGCCCGAGCCGCUUUGCAGCACGCCAACCUCCCUCUCCAUCGGCCGCUUGGGACAAGCUACCAGGCAGGCGUUGAAAAUGCAGCGAGUCAAAGAGCAAAUGGAUUCCGUCCUGGAUCCACAUCGCAGGUCUUCACCUUUUGAACCAGGAAGGAGCCUAUUUUCAGACAUCAGCACGAUAAGACCCAACACCUCGCUCCCUCCUCUCUUGGGCGGCUUCAGUCCCGUCGGGCUACAUCGAACGGGAACGUCCAGGCUUCAGACGUCUCUGCCCAGCUAUGAACCUUCGCCAGACUCGUCUCAACAUGUGGUGGUGUCGCUGUACGAUUACAAGGCCAACCGCUCGGACGAGCUGACGUUGCGGCGCGGUGACGCCAUCCGCGUGCUUUAUAAGGAUAAUGACAACUGGUGGUUCGGCAGCCUGGCGGACGGACAGCAGGGCUACUUUCUUGUGGCCUACGUCGCCGAUCCCAGAGACUCUGGUGAAGAGGCGGCCGUGGAGAGGACGACACCGACGAGAGUCUCCACUGCAUUUACUCCUUCUGGAGAACUUCGGUUUCUCUCUGAGCCCACCUUAACCGACACCGAGCCAGAGUUGACGGAAGCCAAACUUAAAAAGAAAAAGAAAGUGAAAAAGAACUUGAGAAGGAUACCGCCACCACCAGUGCCCGCAUCAUCUCAGGCCACGUUUUCCGAUCCGGACAUCGGAACUGAGUCGGCCGACAAAGUCCGACCGGCUCGUCGCCCACUCCCGAAGAGACCGACUAAGAGGCCCGAUGAUGCUGUGUCACUCGACGCAUGACGGUACACUUUUUGUACAGUAGACAAUCACUUUUUUCUAUUAUUUUUAUAUAAAAUGUCAACCAUUUUGACAUUAUUUUUUAGACGGGUUGAAUUUCUGCAUAGUGGCACUUCCAAAGUGGGACAAUUCAUUGUUCAAAUUCCAAAACAAAUUUCUCCUCCAUAGAAAAUAAUGUUAAAGCCACUUAAUUUGAUUCUCUUAACUUUAACUCACUUCUAGCCAGUGUGUAAUACAACAAAAAAAUUGUUUACUCCACGCUAGCCGUUAGCCACAAGCUAUUAAGCUAUUAUUUACCUGCUUGAUAAAAAACAAGUGUGAUUUAUCAUGAAUUUGUUGUAUUGAACUGAGCAGCGAGAGCAUCCAUUGCUGCGUGGCAGUAAGUUCCAUUUCCUGUUCUAUGGUUAUCAUCACUUGUGAAAUCAAACGAGAUUUGCCGAAAUCCCCCGUCGUGAUACUUUCAAGUCCCAAAUCGCACAACUGUGGAAUUUGUGCUCAACACAUGUAUUACUUAUACAUUUCAGGUUAAAAAAAAUAUUGUUACAAGAAAUUAUAUUAAACAGUUAAUUUUUAUACAGUAUUAAACUUUUUACCAUUGUUUGA